GGCGGCGGCUACACAUGCAGUCGAGCGGAUGAGAGGAGCUUGCUCCUGGAUUCAGCGGCGGACGGGUGAGUAAUGCCUAGGAAUCUGCCUGGUAGUGGGGGACAACGUUUCGAAAGGAACGCUAAUACCGCAUACGUCCUACGGGAGAAAGCAGGGGACCUUCGGGCCUUGCGCUAUCAGAUGAGCCUAGGUCGGAUUAGCUAGUUGGUGAGGUAAUGGCUCACCAAGGCGACGAUCCGUAACUGGUCUGAGAGGAUGAUCAG
rnacentral:rRNA from 1 species